rnacentral:rRNA from 1 species
CCUACGGGUGGCUGCAGUGGGGAAUAUUGCACAAUGGGGGAAACCCUGAUGCAGCAACGCCGCGUGAGUGAUGACGGCCUUCGGGUUGUAAAGCUCUGUCUUCAGGGACGAUAAUGACGGUACCUGAGGAGGAAGCCACGGCUAACUACGUGCCAGCAGCCGCGGUAAUACGUAGGUGGCGAGCGUUGUCCGGAUUUACUGGGCGUAAAGGGAGCGUAGGCGGACUUUUAAGUGAGAUGUGAAAUCCCCGCGCUCAACGUGGGAACUGCCUUUGAAACUGGCAAACUGGAGUGUGUGAGAGGAUAGUGGAAUUCCAGGUGUAGGAGUGAAAUCCGUAGAUAUCUGGAGGAACAUCAGUGGCGAAGGCGACUAUCUGGCACAUAACUGACGCUGAGGAGCGAAAGCGUGGGUAGCAAACAGGAUUAGAUACCCCGGUAGUC